AUUCAGCUGACAAGUCCCAAAAUAGAACGAAACACUCGUCCCGGAU
rnacentral:hammerhead_ribozyme from 1 species